rnacentral:tRNA from 1 species
GGGGUUGUGGCUCAGUGGUAGAACAUUCGCCUAGGACGUGCAAGGCGCUGAGUUCAAUCAUCAGCACCACG